rnacentral:misc_RNA from 1 species
GUGAUUUCCACAGCGAUGAUCGCUUUCUAAUGGGUUCUUUCUCUGCUCUUUCAAGUGCAGACUUCACUUUAUCUAGAGUGCACACACUUUGAUAUUUGGUUGAUGAUGAUGAUGAGACUAACUUCAGUUCCAAGUUACUUUCAUCAAAAAGAUUCAGUGUGAUCUUGGAAGGUGAUUGCGGGAUAUUUAAAUCUUGAAGCUUUGCCAAUGUUUGAUUGGUUUGUUGCCUGUGAUCUGAUGAUGAUGAAGGUGAAGAACUGCAUCUUUGUAAAUAAACCUUCCCGGACUUCAAGUCUAGGCGUUUUUCCCAGCCAGUAGGCACUUGCAAGUCGAGGUCCAAUUCUUGGGACUCAUCCUUUGAGGAAGCAUCACCAUAAACAGCAGCAGCACCACCACCACCACCAAGCAAAUCCCUGGUA